rnacentral:tRNA from 1 species
CAAAUUAGAGCUUGAGAUUAAAGUAUUUCAUUUACAUUGAAAAGAUAUUAUAUUUAAUUAAUUUGA